CAAAAUCAGCAGAGUUGAUGCAGCUAGCCUGAAAGGACUGAAUAAUUUGGCUAAGUUGGGAUUGAGUUUCAACAGCAUCUCUGCUGUUGACAAUGGCUCUCUGGCCAACACGCCUCAUCUGAGGGAGCUUCACUUGGACAACAACAAGCUUACCAGAGUACCUGGUGGGCUGGCAGAGCAUAAGUACAUCCAGGUAAUGCAAAGCCACUGCUUAUGUGAGGAAUAUCCAAAAAGCAAGACCCCCACCCUGCUUAUGGGAUGCUGGGAAGCAGGAAGCUCUUCUUAGAAGUUUUUUUUCCAGAGUGUCUUAGUUAGAAUUUCUAUGACAAAAUACCAUAAAAAAAAUUAAAUCAUGAAGCACAAUUUACAUUAGCUAGAUUUCAAUAAAGUUUUUGAUUUAGAAGUAUGGAGAUGAAACUUAAAGUCUUCUGUAAUGCUGAUAUUUUUUUCAGUAGGGGUGGUGAUGUUGGUGCCAUAGUGAGUAGGGGGAGUUUGAAGCCACAAGUAAAAUAAAAAUUCUUUUUUUUUACUGUCACUAAUUUUAAUUUUCAAAUUAUUCAAGAAUUGACUGGAAAGAGCUUCUUUGGUCUAGCUCCUGAUUCUUUUUGACAUGGCCUCAUCAUUUUUCUUUAUUUCCUCUAAAAAAAAAAUGAGAUACGUUUGCAGAAUGUGCAGGUUUGUUAUAUAGGUAUACGUGUGCCAUGGUGGUUUGCUGGCCCUACUGACCCAUCCUCUAAGUUCGCCCGCUCACCCCCUACCCCCUGUUGUGUGUUUUGUUACCCUCUCUGUGUCCGUGUGUUCUCAGCAUUCAACUUCCAUUUAUGCGUGAGAACAUGCAGUAUUUGGUUUUCUGUUCCUGUGUUAGUUUGCUGAGGAUGAUGGCUUCUAGUUUCAUCCAUGUCCUUGUAAAGGACAUGAUCCCAUUCCUUUUUAUGGCUGCAUAGUAUUCCACGGUGUAUAUGUACCACAUUUCCUUUAUCCAGUCUAUCAUUGAUGUGCAUUUGGAUUGGUUCCAUGUUUUUGCUAUUGUAAAAUAGUGCUGCAAUAAACAUUAUGUGUGCAUA
rnacentral:lncRNA from 1 species